CCUUGGAUAGAGACCGAUCCACACAAGGGUCACAGAUUCGACAUAAUUAUGCCUAAAAUGUAGGAAUGAUGAGAAAGGAAGAAUAGGAAAAGUAGUCUUGCUACUUUAUACUUAAAAAUGUGCUGUAGGAAAGCUUGAGCAAUUUGAGUGUAAUAUGUUGAAAUGGCAUAGUCAACCUCCGUCAGCUAUUAGUGCAGUGGUAGGUAUUUUUCAGCAUGUGAACCCAUUUCUGUCUCUGAAAAUAUAUGCGACCCAAAUAACUUUUGUGCAUUUGCUUCCACGGCUUCCAUUGCUAUGAUUCAUUAGACAGUCAGUUCGUAUACAGGACGUUUAUAAGACCUAAAAUGCUUUAUCAGGUGGGAACCACUGUUUAAGUGCAAUCCUGUGUGAGAAGAUCUGUUUCCAGUUGAUAGUGCCUGCCUCUUUAUUUCAAUUUAGAUGUUGGGCUGCUCCGGAUAAUCAUUCCCCUGAUUGGUUUGGGCAAUCCAUGUUGCCUGUCAAUCAAGUGUGUCAAUCCCUGCGAUUAAACGGCAGGGUUGUAGCCUACGGUGUCAUUUUCUCAGUGGCGAAAUGUUGUUCUCCUUCACUCUCUCUCUCUCUUUACAAUUUAUAUCUUACCUACAGCACUCUUAAAUUUACAUUGAGAGAGGCAGUUGUAUGAACGAGAUUACGUAUUAGAAAAAUGGUUAAUCCAAUGGAAUUACGUAUAUAAUUAAGUAUAAUAUUUAAAGUGACUUCCCCCAAACAUGCAAGAUAAAUAAAAAAAGCCUACCUUAAAAACGGACUGCUUCUCUCCGCACAUUUUACAGCUCCAUUUCUUUGCCUUUAUCACCUGUGACAAGUGAGUCUCAGAUUAACGAGUCUCAGCAAAAGCACGCUUGUCGCAAUUUAAGAGAUCUUCAGUACAGUUAACGUUAGAGAUUGAACGCUUCAGAUUUAUUGAAAGUGUUGCUCAUGCUCAUACAUGACAAACGUGGAUUUUUGGCAGACCGAUACAAAUAGGGUGACCCAAGCUGUCCGUAGAGAUGCAAUAUAAAAAUGUGUCGUCAUUAAAUACAUAUAUAUCUUUUGAGGGCACUCCAUAGUCCUCCACCUAGGACUAGGGACACCAGCUAUCCAACAAUUACUAACGAUAAUGCAAAUAAUGCAGUUGAUGGCUUAAAAGACUGCUGUCAAGUUACCUGCUGUACUUGGUAGGUUUGGCAAGAAUAGCAUCUCAAGACAUGGAAUUGUUGUGCCAUUGUUAAGUUUAUAUGAGAUAGUUAGUUAACCCACUACAGCUGAGAUCUUGGGUUUUUCCCCGGUAAAGUUUGAAGCAUGGAUGAAGUAAA